GUCCCUGUAGCUCAGAUGUAGAGCUUCAGCCUUGCAUGCAAAAGGUUCUGGGUUCAAUCCCUGGCAUUUCCAGUUAGGGCU